GAUGAACGCUAGCUACAGGCUUAACACAUGCAAGUCGCGGGGCAUCAUGGAGGUUGCUUGCAAUUUCUGAUGGCGACCGGCGCACGGGUGAGUAACGCGUAUCCAACCUUCCCAUUACUACGGCAUACCCCGUUGAAAGGCGGCCUAAUUCCGUAUGCAGUCCGAAGCAGUCAUCUAAUUUGGACGAAAGGUAUAUUCUAUCGGUAAUGGAUGGGGAUGCGUCCGAUUAGCCAGCCGGCGGGGUAACGGCCCACCGGGGCAUUGAUCGGUAGGGGUUCUGAGAGGAAGGUCCCCCACACUGGAACUGAGACACGGUCCAGACUCCUACGGGAGGCAGCAGUGAGGAAUAUUGGUCAAUGGGCGUAAGCCUGAACCAGCCAAGUAGCGUGCAGGAUGACGGCCCUAUGGGUUGUAAACUGCUUUUAUGCGGGGAUAAAGUUGGGG
rnacentral:rRNA from 1 species